GUAGUGUCUGAUAUUAGCCCCUAUGUGGAAGGUAGGUUCAUUAAGGCAGAGAAGACUACUUUGUUUUGUGUUUUUGCUCUCAUUACAGUGAUAAGAUGCAUAAUAAAUAUCAAUUAUUUUGUGAGCUUGUACUCAAGGUGAUAUUGCUGUACAUCUGUUUUGCUACUUCAAGUGUCAUUUAGUUAAAGCCAAGCUGUUUAUAAAAUGUUUUUUUUUCUUCAGGGUCAAUUUUGUACUUUUUUUUUUAUUUCUGCAUUUACUGAGUCAUUAUCUCAAUGCUGCAGAGAACACAGCAGGCAGAGCAGUGAGCACACCCACAGUGUUAUCAACAGCCCGCUGUGCCAGGGAGCUGGAAUCGCUGCAUGCACUGAGCUGAGGCACACAGCUGUCUUUGGAAAUCAGUGGUUCCAGUUGCCCAGCCCUCUGUCCAAGCACCGCAUUAUCUGGGUGCAGAGUGGAGUGGUGGCAGCAGGAAUUGAUGUGGGGGGUGGGGUUUGCUGCCGUAUCUGCUGCUAGUUCUGAGUAAUUUGUAAUGUGACCUAAAUUUUGUAAACUUUUUAAUGUGCUAAAAACUUGGUGAUAAUUGCUAAGAAGGGGUAAUUUGUGUACCUGUACUCCUUGUUGGUCCCUACAUGAGGUCCAAUUCACUGGUCUAAUAGUUGUUAAAUCUUUAAUGAAAAGAAUAAAUACGUUCUAAUGUA